rnacentral:sRNA from 1 species
GGAAAAUAAAGUCAGCCUAAAUACGUCACAUCAUGUGACAACGGCUGAUUGACCCAUAUCCUGUGGG